rnacentral:rRNA from 5 species
CAGACCUCUGAUCAGGAAAGACCACCC